GUCUGAGUGGGUUCGAGUCCCACCGGCUCUCAUCUGAGUGGGGGCCAAUUUGUUGGCUCCCCGUCUGGGAGACGGAUCUCCAACACAGUCUCCAUCUGAAUUUUUGCUUUCAGUUUUGCUUCGAUCUCGUGCCGCGCGGCUUGUGUCGUGUUUUGUCUGUUUAAAUCCUGUGUUUCUCAUGUAUGUAUGUGUUUUUCUGUGUCUGUUUCUUUGUGGACUUGGACUGAUAAAAAUUUGGACAGAGGACAGUUGAAAUUAGAACUAGUUCUUGGCUCGGGAGCUCGGGAGUACACACGGCUGCAUGACAGGACACCAAGCAGUGUGCUCUCCCUCCCGAAGGAGCUGAGGAGAAAAUGCUUUCAGGUGGCUGGGGAGACGUGGAGCUGGAGCUUGGGCGGGCGGUGCUCGGACACUUGGGAGUCUGUAAAAUAACAAUGUACAACCAGCAGGGCACGGGCUCUGCAGCCCCGAGACGAAGGGGUGGAAGAUCGCCCCGCGCUCGGAGGGGAGGUGGGGCGGCGCGGCUGGACGCCCCGGGAGCUGCCUACAGUGUUCAAGAGAGGCCCGGCCAGAAAGCAGGUUCAUGACCUGCGGGGGAGUCUAAAUUUGUCUCAGCAGAUUUUCACCUGUUCAACUCUGUUCUGGGAUCAGCUAUAGACUACAAGCUGAGAUCUGGACUUCCUGAAAACUGACCUGAUUGCUCCCUGCCUCUUCCGGUGGAUCAACUGACCAGAUGCUUGGGACUGCCCUAUUGCCCAGCUUUUGACUGGCAUUUCAGCCUCCCCAGUCCCUGAUGCCUACGUCCAACGGUCAGCAUGAAGAAGCUACAGAAGACGGAUCUCCGCCCAAAUCCCCCCUAACAGGCUGAAAUGCUAAGUCAAAAGUGGCUCCCUGACAUUAGCUAUUAUCUUGAGCAUCUGCUUAGCUGCUGACCAUACUAAAUUGAUAAGAGAUGGUUUAGUCAGUCCCCCUGGUUCACCACCCUCGUUUCCUGUUUCCUCCCUCAUGGGCCCCCUAAUCAUAAUUCUCCUGAUUCUACUAGUUGGGCCUUGUAUUCUAAAUUGAUCCAGUUCAUAAAAGACCGGCUCUCUGUCGUACAAGCGUUGGUGUUGACCCAACAAUAUCAUCAGCUCAAACAACAGGAGACAAAAUUUAACUCUUCCUAGGCCCGAGAAUGGAAGAUUCCAUUCUAAGUUAAAAGAAAAUGGGGGAAUGAAAGACCCCAGCCUCACACUAAGUUAAACAUGGCUAAUGCCAUUUUGUGAGACACCACUGUUUUGUAAAACUCUGAAGGCCAGAUGAGAAACUGGAAAAUUACUGAGAAAUCCUAGCUGUGUCACCCACUUGGGAUAUCUGUGGUCAGGCUGCCCCAGUCAUACUAAAAACAGUUUGUGUUAAUCACUCUCAUAGAUAUCUGUGAGACUGUUUCAGCUAAGAUAGGGAAAAACAAAAUAACAGGUGGCGGGCCACGUCAAGGGGUCAUCCUACCCCCCUUGACCACCCAGUUCCUGGAAUCUUGGUGCCCCUGCCAAACUUUGACGCAAAUUGUGGUCUCGUGUAAACGUACCAAUCAGCCCCCUGUAACCAUGCCCUCUCGUGUCUGUACCAGUGCUUCUGCCUCUAAAACCCUAUAAAAACCCCAGCUUCCCAUCUAGGGGGCGCGGAAGUCUUCCGAAUGACUUUUCGCCCCGGGUACCCGAGUAUCAAAAUAAAAGCCUCUUGCUGUUUGCA